rnacentral:lncRNA from 1 species
UCUCAAAUUCCUGACCUGAAGUGAUCCACUCGCCUUGGCCUCCCAAAGUGCUUCGAUUACAGGCGUGAGCUACCGCGCCUGGCCAAAAACUUUUAUAUGAUCUCUCCAGAGAGGCAGUAUGCCACGGUGGCUCAGAGUCUCUGUCGUGUGCCGUACUCCUCUGUGUGACCUCGGAGAAGUUGCUUAACCACUUGGUGCCUCAGUUUCUUCAUCCAUAAAAUGGAUGGACAGCACUGCUUGACCGUGCUGGGUGUGAGGGUUGCCUGAGCUCAUACGUGUAAAGUGGUUAAAACCAUUGUUGCCACAUACCGUGCCUUCCAGUACCACCUGUCAUCAUCAUCCAUUUUCUCAACGUUACAACAAACGGUGGCCACAGUGUCCACAGGGGAGAUGUUUUCUUGUCUUAUUUUCUAGAUGUGAAUGAACUGAAGGAGUGUCUUUCUGUGCUGGUUAAAGAGCAGCAGGCCCUGGCCGUCCAGUCCGCCGCCACCACCCUCUCAGCCCCGAGACUCCAGCACAGGCUGCUGAUCUUGGAGCGCUGUUUCAUUGCCUUGAAUAGAACCGUUUUUCAGGAGAAUGUCAAAGUUAAGUGGAAAAGCAGCAGCAUUUCUCUGCCUCUUGUAGAGAAAAAAAGAGAUGCUUCUGGGCCAGGCACGGUGGCUCACACCUGUAAUCCCAGCACUUUGGGAGGCCAAGGCAGGCAGAUCACGUGAGGUCAGGAGUUCGAGAUCUGACCAACAUGGAGAAACCUCGUGUCUACUAAAAUUAAAAAAUCACCUGGGACGUGGUGGCGCAUGCCUGUAAUCCCAGCGACUCAGGAGGCUGAGGCAGGAGAAUGGCAUGAACCCAGGAGGCAGGGGUUGUGGUGAGUAGAGAUUGCGCCAAUGGACUCCAGCCUGGGCAACAAGAAUGAAACCCCAUCUCAAAAAGAGAGAGAGAGAAAAAAAGAUGCUUUUGGGCAUAUGAGUUUUAAUGUGUUGAUGCCUGUUAAUAUAUCACAGAUUUCCUCUAUUUGCUAACAGCCACUAGAAUGUUUAAGGCUUAUGUAAAAU